rnacentral:rRNA from 1 species
GACGAACGCUGGCGGCGUGCUUAACACAUGCAAGUCGAACGGAAAGGCCCUGCUUUUGUGGGGUGCUCGAGUGGCGAACGGGUGAGUAACACGUGAGUAACCUGCCCUUGACUUUGGGAUAACUUCAGGAAACUGGGGCUAAUACCGGAUAUGAGCUCCUGCUGCAUGGUGGGGGUUGGAAAGUUUCGGCGGUUGGGGAUGGACUCGCGGCUUAUCAGCUUGUUGGUGGGGUAGUGGCUUACCAAGGCUUUGACGGGUAGCCGGCCUGAGAGGGUGACCGGCCACAUUGGGACUGAGAUACGGCCCAGACUCCUACGGGAGGCAGCAGGGGGGAAUAUUGCACAAUGGGCGGAAGCCUGAUGCAGAAACGCCGCGUGCGGGAUGACGGCCUUCGGGUUGUAAACCGCUUUCGCCUGUGACGAAGCGUGAGUGACGGUAAUGGGUAAAGAAGCACCGGCUAACUACGUG